rnacentral:rRNA from 1 species
AACCUCCGCAAUGCACGCAAGUGUGACGGGGGGAUCCUGAGUGCUCAGGGUUAUACCUGGGCUUUUCACCAGAGUAAAGAUCUGGUGGAAUAAGUGGUGGGCAAGACUGGUGCCAGCCGCCGCGGUAACCCCAGCGCCACAAGUGGGAACCGUUUUUAUUGGGUCUAAAGCAUCCGUAGCCGGUCUGUUAAAUGCUCUGUGAAAUCGUGUCGCCUAACGGCACGGCGUGCAAGGUAGACUGACAGACUUGGAACUGGGAGAGGUAAGCGGUAUUCUGUGGGGAGCGGUAAAAUGCUAUAAUCCACAGAGGACCACCGAUGGCGAAGGCAGCUUACCAGAACAGAUUCGACGGUGAGGGAUGAAAGCUAGGGGAGCGAUCCGG